rnacentral:lncRNA from 1 species
AUAUAGUUGAAUUGGGCUACUAUUAGUAGCAAAAUCCCAUUGUUGCUACCGGUUUUUUAGCCUUUGGAUCAACUCUUUUUAUUAUUUCUAAUCAUUGGAUUAAAUAUUAUAACCCAGUGGGGACUACUCAAUCCUAGGGGGACCACUCAGCUCUAACUGACUAAUAUCAUCCUGACCCUACAACUUUUCAUCCAAGGGUUAAAAACUUGAUAGCAAAAAAAGUGUUUUACUAUUAAUAGUAUUCCAGCCUAAUUCUAUAUAUAUAUUGUAGCAGGACUGUUGUGCUCUUAAGAGCACGGAGGCCUCCGUGGUCCUGAGCUGUUUUCGAUGAUAGAAUUUUUGAAUCGACGAUCGACUCCGUUAGACUUGAUUUAGCGUAUUUGAAGUUUCUAGAAAAUAUUUUUUGCGAUUUUUUGAUGAUAUCAUUUAUCUAGUGAUCGAAAGGAUUCAAAAUCAAUAAUUUUUAACGGUUAAUAUCUGCCGUUUUCAAGUUUAAUGUUUAACGGUGUAGAAGUAUUCAAAUCAGAUGAAAUUUUGAUACAACAUUUUUUAUACUAUCUACAACAAAAUCAAUAUUUCUGAUCGAAAAUUUUAAUGCUAUAUCACCACUUUUUAUGGAAUUUUUAUUUUCAGCCGUUAAAAAUUAUUGAUUUUGAAUCCUUUUGAUUGCUAGGUAAAUGAUAUAAAAAAAUCACAAAAAUUAUUUUUUAAAAACUUCAAAUACGCUAGAUCAAGUCUAACGGAGCCGAUCGUCGAUUCGAAAAUUCCAUCAUCGAAAACGGCUCUGGAGCACGGAGGCCUCCAUGCUCCUGAGAGCACAGCUGCUCUCUCUCUCUCUCUCUCUCUCUCUCUCUCUCUAUAUAUAUAUAUAUAAUUUUAAUUAUUUGUGGUGAUAAUAUUUUUAAAUAAGAUUAGAAAAUAUUACGUAUUAGAUAUUACUAUAAGAUAGA